UUAUUUAGACAGACAGACGCAGUCGUCCCGAGAAGAACAAUAUGUUGUAAAUAUUAAGAUUUUGUUGUACAUUGCAGAGAGAAACCUACACUGUGUAUCCAUUGCUUGUGUUAUGUGCUGAUGUUUCUAAGUAUUGUGAGGAAACAUCAGGGAAGCAUAGCGAUGUCCUGCUUGUAUGGAAGUUUCCAUUAGAUUCAUCAUGUGCUUCCUCUUCUGUUUAUCCCUCAUACACAACGCCAGAGCUAGGUAGGUCCCAGGCUUUUACACGCAUAGAAAUAGAAUGACUAGAACAGAACAAUCCCCCUCAUUCCAUGGCAAUUGUGACAGUGUAUUCACCGUCAUUUGGCGGCACCGUGCGUUGUUAUAAACGCCUCAGCCAUCGUGGUGCCUGAAAGUCCAGUGAUGCCCAGUCAUUCUGAACGGAGGCUAAUGACUGUUUAGUCUAGAUUAAACUAUAGAUGACACUACAGUGGCCUGGAAAUACGACGAUAUUGCUAAAGUCAGCGAAUAAUUAGUAGGAAACGAGUUUGCCAUCGACAACGAUGUCGUCAAAUUCACUUUAGAGAGAUUAGCUAUCAGACUUAGUCAGAAAUGUCUAGCAAUGCUAACGUUAGCUAGAAAAAACCCAGGACUGUCCCUCAAUCUCAGCCAGCUAGGUCAAGUUAUAUUGCAUCUAAGGUCAAUCUGGCUUCAUCACAGUGAUAAGAAGAAGGUUUUCUUACUAAUAGCUUGUCUCCUUUUGAAAUAUCAUUGGGUUUCCAAGCCCAGUGUAAUGCACUUUAGGCUAGAUCUUCAUCAGUGCCCAUUGGCAAUGCAUUGACCUUCAGUAGGGCACCAGGGCUCAAGAGAAUCUUCAUAACAAUGUUGUGACGCAACGUGCAUCCAUGAAUAUAGACAACAUUGUUCCACUCAUCAUGGAAUGUUGACUGGAAAGGGGAAUGUCUAUUCUAGUCAUUCUAAUUCUAUGCUUACUCUCUCAGGACAAACAUGGCUCAUUCUAGGCUGGUCCCAGACCAGUUUGUGCUCUUACCAACCCCAUUGCACAUUGGCAAGCAGUUCCACAAGGAGUUGGCAAGAGAGCAGAAACAGGCUGGCAACCAGGCUUAUUGAAGAAGUGGUCACUCAGAUAGGCCUACUUCUUGUCUGAUGUCAUAAUUAUGAUCUGAGGUGUUCCAUAGAAAUCUAAUUCUAAUAUUCUAUGAGGUUCUCUGUUCUACCUGUCAGUACCAAUACCAGUCAUUCUCUGUGUCCCUGUGUUCUAUUCAUGAUUCUCUUGUUCCCCUGCUCUGCUCUACCUGCUACUAUGUUGUGUACCAGCCGUGUGAGGCCAGGGGAGUCAGUGUGGUGUGGGCUAAGUGUGAGGGGGCCGUUUAGGGUAAGCCAGAUUUGACCUCGCCCGCCAGUAACGUUACCGUACUACGCUCCAUCUCUCACCGCUCCGCCCGCCUCGCCCCGCCUGGCCUGGUGCUGUGGCUGCCUCUGGGUUCUCCUGCAGCCUGCUUCAUGCAUACGUCUUGUACCUGUUAGCUAAACAGCUAGCUAUCAGCCAGCCAUGCUAACGCUAGCUAGCUGCCCCAUUCUGUUUGAGUCACAAUAUCAGCCAUGCUAACACUAGCUAUCUGCCCAAUUCUGUUGGUGUUACAGUAUCAGCCAUGCUAACACUAGCUAGCUGCCCCAUUCUGUUGGUGUUACAGUAUCAGCCAUGCUAACACUAGCUAGCUGCCCCGUUCUGUUGGUGUUACAGUAUCAGCCAUGCUAACACUAGCUAGCUGCCCCGUUCUGUUGGUGUUACUUUAGUCGGCAUGCUGUUGUUCAGACUGUACGUACUGUAUGCAUGGCUUAUGGACGUCCUAGAGCGCAUCACGUACACUGCAGCGCUCACCAUUGCAGACGCCGUCGCUUCACCCAAAGGUCCAUCUUUAACGCUUCGGCCCUUUUUACCAUCCCCAUGGCAACAAACGUCGCCCCUGCUACGGGACAGGCGUGUGGGCUCCACAGGUAACCCCCAGGUGACCUCCAUCCCAGACCCAUGGCUUCAGGACAGACCCAUCUGUUUCACUGUCCUCCCUCAGACAGCAUCGCCUCCUGCUCAGUUUGUUUCACUGCUUUCCCUCCAGAGGUCUCUGGUGUUAUACCUACUAGCCCAGUAACACAGUAUGACUACCUCCCUGUUAUAGACCUAGCUUCUCCAGAGGUCUCUGGUGUUAUACCUACUAGCCCAGUAACACAGUAUGACUACCUCCCUGUUAUAGACCUAGCUUCUCCAGAGGUCUCUGGUGUUAUACCUACUAGCCCAGUAACACAGUAUGACUACCUCCCUGUUAUAGACCUAGCUUCUCCAGAGGUCUCUGGUGUUAUACCUACUAGCCCAGUAACACAGUAUGACUACCUCCCUGUUAUAGACCUAGCUUCUCCAGAGGUCUCUGGUGUUAUACCUACUAGCCCAGUAACACAGUAUGACUACCUCCCUGUUAUAGACCUAGCUUCUCCAGAGGUCUCUGGUGUUAUACCUACUAGCCCAGUAACACAGUAUGACUACCUCCCUGUUAUAGACCUAGCUUCUCCAGAGGUCUCUGGUGUUAUACCUACUAGCCCAGUAACACAGUAUGACUACCUCCCUGUUAUAGACCUAGCUUCUCCAGAGGUCUCUGGUGUUAUACCUACUAGCCCAGUAACACAGUAUGACUACCUCCCUGUUAUAGACCUAGCUUCUCCAGAGGUCUCUGGUGUUAUACCUACUAGCCCAGUAACACAGUAUGACUACCUCCCUGUUAUAGACCUAGCUUCUCCAGAGGUCUCUGGUGUUAUACCUACUAGCCCAGUAACACAGUAUGACUACCUCCCUGUUAUAGACCUAGCUUCUCCAGAGGUCUCUGGUGUUAUACCUACUAGCCCAGUAACACAGUAUGACUA